rnacentral:rRNA from 1 species
AAUGAACGCUGGCGGCGUGCUUAACACAUGCAAGUCGCGCGCGAAAGUGGCUUCGGCCAUGAGUAGAGCGGCGAACGGGUGAGUAACACGUGGGUAACCUGCCUUGGAGUGGGGGAUAACCUGGGGAAACUCGGGCUAAUACCGCAUACGUCGGCGGAGUCGAUGCUCCGUCGGGAAAGCCGGCCUCUGCUUGCAAGCUGGCGCUCCUUGAGGGGCCCGCGUCUGAUUAGCUAGUUGGUGGGGUAAUGGCCCACCAAGGCGACGAUCAGUAGCCGGCCUGAGAGGGUGAUCGGCCACACUGGGACUGAGACACGGCCCAGACUCCUACGGGAGGCAGCAGUGGGGAAUAUUGGACAAUGGGCGAAAGCCUGAUCCAGCAACGCCGCGUGGAGGAAGAAGGUCUUCGGAUCGUAAACUCCUGUCAGGUGGGGCGAAGGGCCAUCGGUGAAUAGCCGGUGUCCUUGACGGUACCACCAGAGGAAGCCCCGGCUAACUCCGUGCCAGCAGCCGCGGUAAUACGGAGGGGGCUAGCGUUAUUCGGAAUUAUUGGGCGUAAAGCGCGCGUAGGCGGCUUGGUAAGUCAAAGGUGAAAUCCCUCGGCUCAACCGAGGAACUGCCUUUGAAACUGC